UCGGAGGAGAUUUUCACAGGAGCUAUAAGAGAAGUGAAAGAGGAAACUGGGAUUGAUACCGAAUUCUUGGAAGUUAUAGCUUUUAGGCACGCGCACAAU